GGGUGAUGGACUUCCUGUGGGCCCCUGGUCAGGUGGGCCACUUGCCCGCCCCGUGCCUGUGUUGAGGCUGCAGCAGGAAUAGCAUGUUGGAGCUUAAGGCAGAGUGCUGAUGUGCCCACCGCAUUCUUCCAGGGUGGGCAUGGUGUUGAGCGCUCAUUUGACCAGGGUUGAAUUAGCAGCGUGCAUUGAGAAAUGGAACUCAAGUCCAGUGCGAUCUUCUGGGAAAAGCUGACACCAGGGUUGCUGUGAACACACAGCCUCGUACCUGAGGGAGCAAUGCCAGUGGAGCGUGAGGAGUUAGCGUCACCUUCAAAAUGCCCUCUGGUUUCUGGACAGGGUACUGAAGCAGUCCAGCACUGAAGAGAGGCCGCCCACUGGCCAACUGCACAGCCAUGUCACCUCGCCAUUUUUCCAGCAGAGCCACACAUCGGCCUUCCCCUGCCAGCCUCUGAGGGCCUCUGGGCCAAAACAAGCUACUGCGCCGACUGGUUCCGGGGAUGAAAGGAACUGAUGAGAUGCUCGGCAGGUGCCUCCCGACAGCGCGCCCUGGCGAGGGUGAGCUGCUGCGGUGGGAGCCUUCGGACCGGAGUCUUCAGGCAUGCAGCGGGCUGUAGGUGAGCCUGGCCUGGCUGGUGAUGACGGGCGCUGGACUUCACCAUGGGCCAGCAGGGCCACAUGCUGUCACCCCUGGAUGUUCAGCUCCCCCAGGACUGCAGGGCUGCCCCAAGAGGCCUGGGCCCACCUGAUGCUCACCGUUCAGAAGUUCUCCUCCUCAUGUGCUAAGAGCCUGGCUCCUUUCCCCUCCUGGGCAGUUCUACACUUGCUAGAAAGACAUGAAAGACCUGAAGAAGGUGUUUAGGGCACCGUGUGUGGUUCCUUGUUAUUAUUCCCAUAGGGACCUUCUCCUCUGAUUAUGGAAACCUGGCCAUCGUUUCUGGGUCUGUUUCAAGCUUUCACUUCCCUGCACUUUGAGGAGGGUGCUUGUCCCACUCAGUAUUCAGCACCCAGCCUGUCCCUGCUAGAAAGGGCCCAGAGGAGGCCUUUCCCAGGUACUUCCCUUUCUUGCCCAGUCCAGACCCCUGACAAGCUGUUGCUAUGGAAACAAUGACCAGAAAAGUAGGAUGGUGAGGAGGCUGACACAUGGUUCAGGCCAGACCUUUCUCAGAGGUGGUUUGGUUUGGUCUUAUUGUAUGUGGCUUUGUUUUUGGUGGAGAAACGCAACUCGUAUUCCCCAUUGCUACUGUUCCCCAUGGAGCAGUCUCAUCCCAUACACGAGUUUUGAUACGAGUUUUCUCUAGUGGAAGCCAUGGGUCAUUUUUAGCUGGCUGGUCCUGGGAGCCUUUGAACCGGCCCUUGGAAUCUUUGAGGAUAAACAGGAGCCGGCACGGCUGGGCUGAAUUUGACUUAAAAUUGGAAACACGGGAGUCAGAGGCGAGCUUUAUAUAGUCUGGGAGUGCAGAAGCCCCAAGACCUGAUUUAUGAGGGAGCUCAGUGAAAGCACAUGGACGCCGAGGUAAUAUUUAUAAAUUCCUUCCCCCUAGGAUGGAUGGAAUGUUUUGAGCUGCAGUCAGAUAGCACCUUUUUGGGGGAUGAAGACAGGUUGUUUAUAUUCGGUGAUUCGAUGACUGGAAGGAAAGGGAGAUGCCAGCCAGGCAAGGCCUCUAAGUCUCUGCCACAGAGCGCAGGGUGGGAAGAGAGCUCGACCCUCAGGGCUGGAUUCCUCUGGGGAACUCUGCAUGCCCUUUGGGGUGGCUCCUUCCUCCUG